rnacentral:rRNA from 1 species
AACGAACGCUGGCGGCAUGCCUAACACAUGCAAGUCGAACGAGACCUUCGGGUUUAGUGGCGCACGGGUGCGUAACGCGUGGGAACCUGCCUUUAGGUUCGGAAUAACUCAGAGAAAUUUGAGCUAAUACCGGAUGAUGUCUUCGGACCAAAGAUUUAUCGCCUUUAGAUGGGCCCGCGUUGGAUUAGCUAGUUGGUGGGGUAAAGGCCUACCAAGGCGACGAUCCAUAGCUGGUCUGAGAGGAUGAUCAGCCACACUGGGACUGAGACACGGCCCAGACUCCUACGGGAAGCAGCAGUGGGGAAUAUUGGACAAUGGGCGAAAGCCUGAUCCAGCAAUGCCGCGUGAGUGAUGAAGGUCUUAGGGUUGUAAAGCUCUUUUACCCGAGAUGAUAAUGACAGUAUCGGGAGAAUAAGCUCCGGCUAACUCCGUG